GGCUCCCCGCAAAAGGUGUCACGGGGUGUCACACCUGCACAAUGACCUAAGGGUUCAAUUGCCGCGGUAUCCUGACCGUGCAAAGGUAGCGUAAUCAAUAGCCUAUUAAUUGUUGGCCUGUAUGAAUGGUACGACGCUGGUGGCUCUGUCUCUGUUAUAUUAAUUUGAAUUUAAUCUCAGGGUGAAAAAGCCCUGAUUUUUCUGAAAGACGAUAAGACCCUAUCGAACUUUAGGUAGAUUUAAAUAAGUUGUUAAGUUAAUUUAGGGAAACCUUUGGUUGGGGAAACCGGGGACUAUGAGAAACGUCCCCUUGUUUCGAAGUUAACACCCGAAGUUAGGGUCGGUAAUGAUUCCGUCCCUAGGGCAAUUGGCCUUCAGGAGAGUAAUUUUCUUUGGAAAAGGAAAAAAGUCUGGCAAGAUAUAUGUGACUUGUAGAAUGAACCUAAAGACUUGGAAGGAUCUGUUAAUAAGGAAGAGUUACCGUAGGGAUAACAGCGUAAUCCCUCUGGCGAGACCACAUUAAUGGGGGGGUUUGCGACCUCGAUGUUGGCUUAGGGCGACCUAGAAGUGCAGGGGCUUCUAAAGGGUGGUCUGUUCGACCAUUAAAGCCUUACGU
rnacentral:rRNA from 1 species